UUUAAAGAGAGUUUGAUCCUGGCUCAGGACGAACGCUGGCGGCGUGCCUAAUACAUGCAAGUCGAACGAACGGAGGAAGAGCUUGCUCUUCCAAAGUUAGUGGCGGACGGGUGAGUAACACGUGGGCAACCUGCCUGUAAGUUGGGGAUAACUCCGGGAAACC
rnacentral:rRNA from 1 species